GCCGAACGGAUAGAGUCUCCCUUGUACGUCCUAGGCAUCACAAUCCAUACAAACGCGAGGUUCCAACCAGGAACAAUAAUAAAACAAGGAUUGCAUAAGGAAGUAUCAAAAACAUAAAUACAACUAUACUAUUACAAGCAUUCAUCUAAGAUUUUACAUUUUACAAUUUGCAUUCGCAUUUAACUUCCAAAUACAAUCGAUAUUAUUACAACAUUGUUUUCUGCUUUUCUACAACCCCUAACUAGGCCGACUC
rnacentral:lncRNA from 1 species